UCUAGCAUUACAAGUAUUAGAGGCACUGCYUGCCCAGUGACAAUAAAAGUUUAACGGCCGCGGUAUCCUGACCGUGCAAAGGUAGCAUAAUCACUUGUUCUUUAAAUAAGGACUAGUAUGAAAGGCUUGACGAGGGUUUAACUGUCUCUUACUUAUAGUCAGUGAAAUUGACUUUCCCGUGAAGAGGCGGGAAUAAAAUAAUAAGACGAGAAGACCCUAUGGAGCUUUAAUUAAUUAACUCAUUUUUACCAAAUUUAAUCUAUAAGAAACAAAAAAUAAAUUAUGAGUUAACAAUUUUGGUUGGGGUGACCUCGGAGUAAAAUAAACCCUCCGAAUGAUCUUAACCAAGACCUACAAGUCAAAGUUUUUAAUCAUAAAUUGACCCAGAAACAAUCUGAUCAACGAACCAAGUUACCCUAGGGAUAACAGCGCAAUCCUAUUUAAGAGUCCAUAUCGACAAUAGGGUUUACGACCUCGAUGUUGGAUCAGGACACCCAAAUGGUGCAACCGCUAUUAAAGGUUCGUUUGUUCAACGAUUAAAGUCCU
rnacentral:rRNA from 1 species